UCCCUGGUGGCUCAGAUGGUAAAAGAGUCUGCCUACAAUGCAGGAGACCCGGGUUCGAUUCCUGGGUCGGGAA
rnacentral:tRNA from 1 species